rnacentral:rRNA from 1 species
CGCGCAGGUGGUUUUCUUUAAGUCUGAUGUGAAAGCCCACGCUCAACCGUGGAGGGUCAUUGGAAACUGGGAGACUUGAGUGCAGAAGAGGAUAGUGGAAUUCCAAGUGUAGCGGUGAAAUGCGUAGAGAUUUGGAGGAACACCAGUGGCGAAGGCGACUGUCUGGUCUGUAACUGACACUGAGGCGCGAAAGCGUGGGAGCAAACA